GACGAACGCUGGCGGCGUGCUUAACACAUGCAAGUCGAGCGGUAAGGCCCUUUCGGGGGUACACGAGCGGCGAACGGGUGAGUAACACGUGGGUGACCUGCCUUUAGCUCUGGGAUAAGCCUGGGAAACUGGGUCUAAUACCGGAUAUGACCCUAUGGCGCAUGUUGUGGGGUGGAAAGCCUUGUGCGGCUAGGGAUGGGCCCGCGGCCUAUCAGCUUGUUGGUGGGGUGAUGGCCACCAAGGCGACGACGGGUAGCCGGCCUGAGAGGGCGACCGGCCACACUGGGACUGAGACACGGCCCAGACUCCUACGGGAGGCAGCAGUGGGGAAUCUUGCGCAAUGGCGAAAGCCUGACGCAGCGACGCCGCGUGA
rnacentral:rRNA from 1 species